UACGUAGGGUGCGGGCGUUAAUCGGAAUUACUGGGCGUAAAGCGUGCGCAGGCGGCCUCUUAAGUCAGAUGUGAAAUCCCCGGGCUUAACCUGGGAACUGCGUUUGAAGCUGGGAGGCUUGAGUGUGGAAGAGGGGGGUGGAAUUCCAGGUGUAGCAGUGAAAUGCGUAGAGAUCUGGAGGAACACCGAUGGCGAAGGCAGCCCCCUGGGCUAACACUGACGCUCAUGCACGAAAGCGUGGGGAGCAAACAGG
rnacentral:rRNA from 1 species